rnacentral:rRNA from 1 species
GACGAACGCUGGCGGCGUGCCUAAUACAUGCAAGUUGAGCGCUGAAGGUUGGUACUUGUACCGACUGGAUGAGCAGCGAACGGGUGAGUAACGCGUGGGGAAUCUGCCUUUGAGCGGGGGACAACAUUUGGAAACGAAUGCUAAUACCGCAUAAAAACUUUAAACACAAGUUUUAAGUUUGAAAGAUGCAAUUGCAUCACUCAAAGAUGAUCCCGCGUUGUAUUAGCUAGUUGGUGAGGUAAAGGCUCACCAAGGCGAUGAUACAUAGCCGACCAGAGAGGGUGAUCGGCCAGAUUGGGACGGGGACACGGCCCAAAAUCCUACGGGAGGGAGCAGUAGGGGAUCUUCGGCAAUGGAAGAAAGUCUGAACGAGCAACGCCGCGUGAGUGAAGAAGGUUUUCGGAUCGUAAAACUCUGUUGGGAGGGAAGAACGUUGGGGAGAGUGGCAAGCUCAUCAAGUGACGGUAACUAGCCAGAAAGGGACGGCUAACUACGUG